UCCCUGGUAGUCUAGUGGUUAGGAUUCCGCGCUCGCCAUCACGACCCGGGUUCGAUUCCUGGUCAGGGAA
rnacentral:tRNA from 1 species